rnacentral:rRNA from 1 species
GGAUUAGGCAUGCAAGUCGCACGAGAAAGGCUUCUUCGGAAGCCGAGUAAAGUGGCGAACGGGUGAGUAAUGCAUAGACAACUCGCCCUUGAGAUGGGGACAACGCCUCGAAAGGGGUGCUAAUACCCAAUGCCGCCUUGGGCCUGCGGGUCCAGGGUGAAAGGAGGCCUCUGAUUCAAGCUUCCGCUCAAGGAGAGGUUUAUGUCCUAUUAGCUAGUUGGCGGGGUAACGGCCCACCAAGGCUGCGAUGGGUAGCCGACCUGAGAGGGUGACCGGCCACAUUGGGACUGAGACACUGCCCAGACUCCUACGGGAGGCUGCAGUCGAGAAUCUCCCGCAAUGCGCGCAAGCGUGACGGAGCGACGCCGCGUGGGUGAUGAAGGCCUUCGGGUUGUAAAACCCUGUCAGCUACUACGAAACACGGGCGAUGAACAAUCGUCCCGUCUGACUUAAGUAGCAGAGGAAGCACCGGCUAACUACGUGCCAGCAGCCGCGGUAAUACGUAGGGUGCGAACGUUGUUCGGAAUCACUGGGCAUAAAGGGCGCGUAGGCGGUCUGAUAAGUCAGGUGUGAAAUCCCUCGGCCUAACCGAGGAACUGCAUUUGAUACUGUCGGGCUAGAGUACAGGAGGGGAGAGUGGAAUUCCUGGUGGAGCUGUGAAAUGCGUAGAUAUCAGGAGGAACGCCGGCGGCGAAAGCGACUCUCUGGCCUGUUACUGACGCUGAGGCGCGAAAGCUAGGGGAGCAAACGGGAUUAGGUACCCCGGUAGUCCUAGCCCUAAACGAUGGGCACUAAGUAGAGGGGUUUU